AUGCUCGAAGAAUUCUGCCAGAACUUCGAAGAGGAAACCAGUCGAGUGGAGCCAGUCUUGGACCCCGCCAAUUCUCUCGUGAAGGAUGAGGCUGCUAUGAACGUGCUCCGACUGGAGUCUCGUAUUACCAGUGUUGUUGACUACCUUGCUCGACUGAAGGUUGCGAUGUCGCGGAUCGACACAUCACUCUGGCCUGGGACAACGCUUCAGAAUGACCUCGAGUCUCUGAUGGCUCGACUGAAUGAAGCCCCGGGUCGAGUGGCGGAAUGGAAGAAGUCUUCUGCUAGAUGUGGUGCUGAUGUCGCUCUGUCUCUGGUCCGCGUCCAUUGCAAGGAGGCGCGAGAAGAAAAGCUGGCCGCCAUCCAAGUUGCCAAUACCAGGAAGCACAGCUUUCAAGAAUUCAUGGAGACUUUCAUCGCUGCUGCCACUCGUAUUGUGGACGGGAUCGACUUGGACGAGUUCGUCGCCCCUUCCAGUCCUCCGCCUGAGGAAUGA
rnacentral:rRNA from 1 species